CUUAGAAUUCUAAGUAUCAUAAUUGGUACCCUUUUGUUUGGCCCUUGAAUUUGCGGCGUGAUUUACAGUAUUCAUUAAGCAAGCUCUUAGGAUCAAAUCUCAAGUGAUUUGACAUAAACUUAGCAUGUUUGUACUUCCCUUUCCCCUAUCCCUCUCAAACUAGAGGGUCGCAGUUUUUGGCUCAUAAAUUGUAUGAAACGACUACGAUGCAUAUUAUGGGAUUCUCCCUGAAGUAAUAAUGGGAUUUAAUUUCAUUGUAUUUUUUUCACAAAAAUAUUUGUUCACACAACCAAAAUUUCCCAAAAUGUUUAGACAACACCUUGAGUCAGAUAGAAACCACAGCAUAGAACCCAAUCUACUUACCCUCUUCUGCAAUUAAAUUUAUGCUGGUAUGUUUUAUGCUGCAUGCUCCUUUUCCAAGGUGUUCUAGUUCUGUUAUUAAGGAUAAUUAAGCUCCACUGACGGGA
rnacentral:lncRNA from 1 species